rnacentral:lncRNA from 1 species
UUAAAAGUUUUAUACACCAAAUUGUGUUAUCAUCAAUAAAAUACAGAAAGAUAAAGACAAUAACAUAAGGUUUUACGUGAAAACCCAAAUAAUAAAAAAACUACGGAGAAAUGCAGAAGAAAUCUACUAAAUAAAAUCUGAAAAAUACAAGAUAAAGAGAGAACUAUGAGAAUUAUUAGAAUACUUCUCAAUAUUUCUUCUCCAAAAACCUAGCACCUAUAUUUAUAGGCCAUAGGAAAAUUUCAUAACCAAAUAGAAUAAGAAAUACUAAAUUGAGUUCCUAAACUAAAACGGAUUCUAAAUCCAAAUCUAAUAAGAAUUCAUGUCAUACCCAACAAUUAAUGAAAUACUUCUGAAACAAAAUUAUUCGUAUUUUAAUGAUGUGUCCUAAUAGCACUCGUGUAUACACUGUCAGUGUAUCAAAUUUAAACUUAUUUUAUUAAUUCAUGAAUAUUUUUAAUUUUUAAGGAUUUUAUUACCGGAGCUUACAUUUAGUAUACAGAUGAUUUUUUAAAAUCUAAUUCCUUUGUGGCACCAAACUACUGAUGCUCAACAAAAUUUCAGGGAAGCAUUGCUGCAAAAGAUUAAGGAUACAUACAGUGAAAUAAUUGGAAGCAACUGAAAGAAAAUCUUGAGAAGAUACCUUAGGGUGGAUCCUUUGGCUGCUGAAACAUGUAAUUUGUAGCACUGUGCAAGAAACUCUGAUCACCCGUUCUCUUGUUUGUGAAAACCUCUGAUCAGAAUAAACAGGUCACGUACUGAGUUGCCUACUAGAUAUAUAACAUGUCCUAUUAUGGUCCUAUUAUGGUUUAUUUCCAUUCUUUGCAUAGCCAUCCUAAUGCUCAUAUUCACUUAACUUUUUGUCCUCUGGAAGUUGCUUAAGCUUGUAGUAAAAUACUCUAUCUGCAUACUUAUGUUUAUGCGUGUUCAUAACAAGAAUUUUCUUUUGACGUCUUCUUGCCGUAGAGUGGAUCGUUCAUAUUUGAACACAAGACCUCAUAAAUUACAAGUCUAUAUUCAUUUUAAGAACAAAGUGACGAGGAACCAACAAUAUUGUAGACUACAUUAAUCUAAAGAGUUACUCCCUCCAUCCUCAGAAAGUCCUCAUUUGACUUUAAUUCUAGCUAGUUUGCCAAAUAAUUUAAUAUACUUAUAAGUAGUGAAAAAGUCCUCAUCUUAAUUUUAGCAAUAAUAAUUUUAUACUUGGUUAUACUUAUUAAGUAGUUGAUAAAAUCUACUACGAUAAAACUUAUAUAUAAUAGUCUCUGGAUAAAAUAGAGGUUCUUCCUAAAAUACAGUCUAAAUGUAAAAAAAUUAUUUAAAACUAGUUUGUAAAGUAUGUCUGAAUAUAAUAUUUUACUAUUUUAUCUUAAAAUCAGUUUAAUUAUACAAAUUUAGACCGAGGGUAAUAAUAUAAUAAUAGAUACUAAAUAAUUAAUUUAAAUAAAAUUACAAAAAAUAUUUUCAAUUACAAUAUGAUAAAAUAAAAUAUUUCAAGUCUACUAAAUAAUAAUAAUAAUAAUAAUAAUAAUUAUUAUUAGGGGUCGUGGGAGAUAGUCGUGCGGUAGCCUUAUGGGAUGCAAAAUGGAGUAUAUUAUUUCUACUUUUUAUUGUUUAUUUUAGUAGAUAAUAUCACAACCUCAUAUUCACCACCAUAGGUAACUUUCGUCACCCACCAUCGUCAACUAUUGCCACCAGGGCCGGUCCAAACUUUUUGGGGGGCUCAAGCCAAAUCUUAAAUUGGGGCCUUUUUUUUUAAACCAUUCAAUACUAAAUUAAAUUAAUAUCUACUCCCUUCGUCUCAUAAUAAAAGUCCUUAUUACUAUUUUGGGUAGUCCCAUGUUAAAUGUCUAUUUUUCUUUAAUAACCAAACUUUUACACAUAUUUUCCUAUUAUACCCGUAACAUUAAAUAUCUCAUACUUUUCUUAUUCUAAUUCUUUCUCCAUAUUUAAUGACAUUAUUAUGGGCAAUUUUGUCAUUUUAUUCAUCUUCUUAAUAUGCGUGAAAAGUCCACCAGGACUUUUAUCCUGGGACGGAGGGAGUAUGAUUUUUUUAAAUUAGAAUUUAAUUUUUCUUGCUUUUUUAGAUGCAAAAUUAUUGAUCAAAUUUUUAUAAUCAAUUUUCUCUAAGUAAGAUUUUAUCAAUUUUAAUUUUGAAAAAGUUCUUUUUGCAGAAGCAACUGUUACAGGAAUUGUUAAUAAAAUUCUAUAUGCG